AUUGAACGCUAGCGGCAGGCUUAACACAUGCAAGUCGAGCGGGGAAAGGUAGCUUGCCACCUGACCUAGCGGCGGACGGGUGAGUAAAGCUUAGGAAUCUGCCUAUUAGUGGGGGACAACAUUCCGAAAGGAAUGCUAAUACCGCAUACGCCCUACGGGGGAAAGCAGGGGAUCUUCGGACCUUGCACUAAUAGAUGAGCCUAAGUCAGAUUAGCUAGGUGGUGGGGUAAAGGCCUACCAAGGCGACGAUCUGUAGCGGGUCUGAGAGGAUGAUGCGCCACACUGGGAGUGAGACACGGCCCAGAGUCCUACAGGAGUCAGCAGUGGGGAAUAUUGGACAAUGGGAGAAAGCCUGAUCCAGCCAUGCCGCGUGUGUGAAGAAGGCCUUUUGGUUGUAAAGCACUUUAAGCGAGGAGGAAGCUACCGAGAUUAAUACUCUUGGAUAGUGGACGUUACUCGCAGAAUGAGCACCGGCUAACUCUGUGCCAGCCGCCGCUGUAAUAC
rnacentral:rRNA from 1 species